GGCACGCAGUCCACACCAUGGACAUUGAACAAGACAUCGUUAAACGUGGAGAUAAAAAGUAACUUCAACAUUAUAAUAAUACAACUCACCGAUUGUGCGUGUCAAUUAAGAUACUCAGCAAUGGCUUCAUCAAAAUCGCUCAUGUUGGUUCUGGUCUUAGUUACUCUGACGUUAACAUCAGCUGGUCGUCGCCGUAGAGUUUGUCGCAUGGACGGCGCCACCGGAAACUGUGCGGAGAUUGUGGGGCGGCGGCGAGCGCUCAAGGGAGUCGGAUUGUGUCAGAAACAGGGCGGUGUAUGCAUGCAUUUCCACGGACGUGGCGCGCCCAGGUGUGCGUGCAUGGAGGUGAAACCAGACUCCGUGAGGUUGUUAUAGUGUUUUUCAUUGUGCUGUGUACUUCUCAUAGUGCUGUGUACCUCAGGGUAUUUUUAACUAAUUUAUACAUGCAGCGUUUGUGUUCAAAAAGAUGUGUGUUUCACUUGUAAAAAUGGCUUUUUAAUAUUUUCUAUAACACUUUAUGUAGGUAUAAACGUUCCAGUAAAUUAAGAAUUUUAUAAAUAAAAAAAAUAUUGUAUACAUGUAUCUUAUUUAUUUUUCUUUAAUUUUCAUGGUCAUGAUAUUAUAUAUUGCUAUUAAUCCAUUGCCAUUUUACAUUAACAGUGUUUUGUUUUUGAUUAUAUAAAUAAAUUGACAAGUUUUAUUCGGUGUGUUGUAAAUGUUUCACAUUCCAAGUACAUGUGUACUUAGCAUUAUCACCUGUCAUUAUCACCUGUCAAUAUCACCUGUCAUUCUGAUUGAUUGUUCAGCUUCUUUUAUCGACUCGCCAUUCUUAUAUUUCCCGCCAAGAGGAAAGCGUACAUCUGAAUAAGAUGAUGCUCGAGCGAAUAAUGUACAUGUAUGUCAGUCAGGGGAAAUGUGUAUUUGGGCUUGGUUAUACAUUGUACACUAGCAGUUUACCUAUUAAGAUUAAGCGAUUAUCUAAUUGAUUUGUUCAGUGAUAAAUGAGCGGACACUUAUGUCGAAAUUAUAUAUAUAUAUACUUAUAUAAAUUACGCACUCAGUUGUUUGGAGCAUGUGUUUUACGGAAAUCAAAAGGAACUAAUAGGAGUUAACACAGUGAACAAGCACACGAAACUGUACAAAACAAGGCAUUUCAUCAUUAUUUUAACAUUAAAUUCAUACCUUAAUAAAUUAAACGCUUUUCAAAUCAAAGAGCGGACAAACUAUAAUACAGCAGGAACAAUAAGACCGCUUGAAAUGCUGUGAAAUAUCCGAUUUAAUAAUGUGUGACAUGUAUAUAAAUAAUAUGGAUGGAAAUUAAUCGAUGGCCGCAAUAAUCUGUUCAUGAUUUAAGAGCACUAUUGCUUUAUUAUACAUCGAUCCGACCUGUCAAUCAAACUAAUCAUUAUUGACCAAUGAGAAAGCUGCAAAUUAUUCACCGAGUCCCGUCCGCCAUCUUUACCCACAAACACAGCAGCGAUAACUGUUUACAACCGGACAUUUUAUUGAAGUUUUAAGACUGAUUUGUGAAAAUGGUUAAACGAUGCGGAUGGGGAAUAUGUUAUGCAGAUUAAGGUAUCCGGAGGGACUAAAUGGAGGCCGAUUUAAACGAUUUCCGACCUAUAAUUUAAUAUAAUCCGAUAUUGAGAAGUGCAAAUGCUGGAUUAAAGCCUGUGGACGGCCACAAGAGAAACUGAAUGUCAACAGGAUAAACAAGCACGAAGAUGUCUGCUCGAAGCACUUUCAUGGAGGAAAUGGACCAUCUUAAGAGUAUCCUGACCCACCAUCAGCUGAUGGCUGGAGAAUAACAUCUUCAAGAAAACUCCCCACAAAGCGGUCACUUGGAAAGGAAACUUAUGGCAGCAUUUAUACACAAAAUGCAAGUAGAAAAGCUGGUCCAGGAUCCUGCAGACACUGUACCAGGAGUAGAAACACAGACCGAAUGUCCAUGGACGUCACCUUUGGAUGUUUGCACUUUAUACCGCUCAAAAUGCUUCCCUAAAAGAACAGUUGUCACAAAAAGAAGUCCAAGUUGAAGAAUAACAGUCUGCACUUUUAUCAAAGUGUUGUGAAAUUCAGAUUUUAAAGCAACUGGUGGGAAUUUAAACAAACUGUAAAUGUCGAUAUAGUUCUGCUCAAAGAAGCAAUAGUUAAAAUUUGUUUAAAUAUUAUACAGGAAUCAUAUGAUUUUAUUUCUGCUUCUUUGAUAUAAUUGAAUAACUGUUAGUUUAUUCAUGUUUGGAAUAAAGCAUUGUAAAGUGAA